rnacentral:rRNA from 1 species
UACGUAGGGCGCAAGCGUUGUCCGGAAUUAUUGGGCGUAAAGAGCUCGUAGGCGGUCUGUUACGUCCGCUGUGAAAACCCGGGGCUUAACCCUGGGCUGGCAGUGGAUACGGGUAGACUAGAGGCAGGUAGGGGAGAAUGGAAUUCCCGGUGUAGCGGUGAAAUGCGUAGAUAUCUGGAGGAACACCGGUGGCGAAGGCGGCAUCCUGGACCAAUUCUGACACUGAGGAGCGAAAGCCAGGGGAGCAAACGGG